CUACGACGUUAAUUUGACCUCGAUCUGCAUUCACUUCCUGUGAAAGUGAAAGUAGCCCCGUAGGCACCGAAAUCAUGGCUGCUGCAUGCUGACGAUGAAUCAUGAUGAUCCCUUUGAUCUCAAAAAGCCAAAGAAAUCAGAGAAAAAGGGAAAAUGUCCUAGCAUGAUGAGAAAAUAGGGAACAGUACUAUUGCCUCACAUAGAGAAACCAGUAAGGAGAAUGAUGCAUUUUCAGGGAAAAUGUCCAAGCAUGAUGAGAAAAUAGGGAACAGUGCCAUUGUCUCACUUAGAGAAGCUAGUGAGGAGAAUGAUGCAUUUUCAGGGAAAAUGUUCAAGCAUGAUGAGAAACUGCGCCAUUGUUUCACUUACAGAAGCCAAUGUUGAGGAUGAUGCAUGUUCAGGGAUAUUGCAGUCAAUGACUGUGAUUCAUCUUAUAAUGCAAAAGUUGGAGAUACGCUCCUGCAGUGAAGGACCCUGAUUAUGAACCAGACCACUGCUCCGACAGUGAUUCAGACUUUCUAAUUGAAGGUAAUUAUCUCUUUAAAGUCAUUUUCCCCUGUACUGCAGUACUCAGCAAUUGAAACAGAACAAUCUUAUAUACAUAUAUUUACAUUCACUGAAUUUUUUCUCUUAUAUUUCUAUUGAAAUUGACAUUGCUUUCAUCUGGAGCAAUGAAAGCAUGUUUGUUGCAAACUUGUUGGAUCCAGUUUUUUUGUACCAUCUUUCUGUGUAAUCAUUACCAAAUAUGGGGCGUCAUCAAGGUUAAAGGGUGCGUUGGCUGUUCUGUUUAACGUAACAAAUGGGUCAAUUAUAUGAUAUUUUAGUACUUCAAUCUAGUUUAUAUUUGAAAACAAUACAACAAAAUAUAAAUAUGAACAAUGAAAUGUCUUUCUUUGUUGCUUCAUCGGGUGAUGAAGGUAGCAAUCAUUGCACAAAAAGUUUACAUAACCCGUUUACACGGGUUAUGAAUUUUUUUUUUGCAAUGCUAGCUACCUUCAUUACCCGAUGAAACAACAAAGAAAGCAUUUUAUUGUGUAAAUAACUUGUUAGCUCACCUGAACCGAAGGUUCAAGUGAGCUUUUCUGAUCAACAUUUGUCCGUUGUCUGUCAUCGUUGUUGUAAACUUUUCACAAUUUUAUCUUCUUCUCAUGAACCACUGGGCCAAUUUCAACCAAACUUGGCCACAAGCAUCCUUAGGUGAAGGGCUUUCAAGUUUGUUCAAAUGAAGGGCCAUGUCCCUUUCAAAGGGGAGAUAAUCACAAAAAUGCAAACAUAGGGUGGGGUCAUUUAAAAAUCUUCUUCUCAAGAACCACUGGGCCAGAAGAGCUGAAAUUUACCUGAAAGUUUGUUCAAAUGAUGGCUCCCAGGGGUAGGAUGGGGCCACA